UCGUCGGCCUGCUGCGGGGCGAUGAAAUGAAUGUGGGUGUCCACCGCACCUGCGGUGAGGAUCUUGCCUUCGCCGGCGAUGACGUCGGUGCCGGGGCCGACGAUGAUGGUCACAUCGGGCUGGAUGUCGGGAUUGCCGGCCUUUCCGAUGCCUGAGAUGCGGCCAGCCUUGAUCCCCACAUCGGCUUUGACGAUGCCCCAGUGAUCGAGGAUCACGACGUUGGUGAUGACGAGAUCGGCAACUUCGGCCGCCAGCCGCUGGCUUUGGCCCAUGCCGUCGCGG
rnacentral:sRNA from 1 species